rnacentral:rRNA from 1 species
ACGGUCCUAAGGUAGCGAAAUUCCUUGUCAGGUAAGUUCUGACCCGCACGAAAGGUGUAAUGUCUUUGGGCACUGUCUCAACAGGGGACUCGGUGAAAUCAAACUGCCGGUGAAAAUGCCGGCUACCCGCGAUUAGACGGAAAGACCCCAUGGAGCUUUACUGUAGGUUGAUAUUGAUAUUUGGUAUGUAAUGUACAGGAUAGGUGGGAGACUAUGAAGCUAGGACGUUAGUCUUGGUGGAGUCGACGUUGGGAUACCACCCUUUGCCUAUCGAGUAUCUAACUAGUGUAAGUGGAUUACAAAGGACAGUGUCAGUUGGGCAGUUUGACUGGGGCGGUCGCCUCCUAAAGAGUAACGGAGGCGCUCGAAGGUUCCCUCAGAAUGGUUGGAAAUCAUUCGCAGAGUGUAAACGCAGAAGGGAGCUUGACUGCAAGACAAACAAGUCGAGCAGGGACGAAAGUCGGAGUUAGUGAUCUUACGGUACCGCGUGGAAGGGCCGUGACUCAACGGAUAAAAGCUACCCUGGGGAUAACAGGCUGAUCACGCCCAAGCGUUCACAGCGACGGCGUGGUUUGGCACCUCGAUGUCGGCUCGUCGCAUCCUGGAGGUGGAUAAGCUUCCAAGGGUUGGGCUGUUCGCCCAUUAAAGCGGCACGCGAGCUGGGUUCAAAACGUCGUGAGACAGUUUGGUCCCUAUCUGUCGUGGGCGUUGGAAAUUUGAAGAGAGCUGUCCUUAGUACGAGAGGACCGGGAUGGACAUACCACUGGUGUACCAGUUAGCCUGCCAGGGCUAUAAGCUGGGUAGCUACGUAUGGAACGGAUAAACGCUGAAAGCAUCUAAGCGUGAAGCCUCCUCUAAGAUUAGAUUUCCCACAGAAAUGGUAAGACCCCUUAUAGACUAUAAGGUUGAUAGGCUAGGUGUGGAAGCGCAGUGAUGCGUGGAGCUGACUAGUACUAAUAGGUCGAGGACUUAACCUA